GGUCAGUGAUGUGAUGGCAUGUAUUAGCUGAAUCAAAGUUGAUGUAAAAUUCUAAAAUUACACUGAGACCUU